UAACAACUAGCAUGACAGAUGGCUGCACUGUGCAUCCGAAGUUUGUAUUUGUUUUGUAAUUUGCUUGGAAUGUCAUUUCCUCAAUAAAAUUAGAUUUAAAAAAAUAAUUGAGUAUAUAGUAAAACUUAAACUGCUCGAGUGCCAAAGAUAUUGAAAAUGGAAUUUCGAAAUAUAACUUCGUCAGAGCCCCAUUUUGUAGACAAAGACACACAAGAGGUAAUGGGUACUUACCAACCUGUUUUCAUGGAAUAUUCAAUUUUGGCUGAAUACAAUGCUUUAAGAGACCAAUCCAAGAUUUUGCAAGAUGUAUAUGUGAUGCCUUCUGCCAAAGACCCCCUGCAUUGGUUUGGCCUUAUCUUUUUGAGAAGUGGUUACUAUGCAGGGGCAGUGUUUCGUUUUCACAUCUUCAUAGGAAAAAGUUUUCCCCAGAUUGAUAUUCCUAAUAUCGUUUUAUCUCCGCCAAUCUUCCAUCCCAAAGUUGACCCGGUUUCGGGUUACAUGGAGACUCGAUCGGCUUUUGGCAAAUGGCAAGUUGGUGUACAUCACAUCUGGCACCUACUUUUGUACAUAAAGAAAUCACUUCUCGUCAUAGAGAACCGCGAUUCAGUGAAUCAAGUUGCAGCAGACUUAUUCACACACGAUCUGGCCGAGUUUCAGACGAGGGUUACCGAAUGCAUUAUCGAAUGCAAAGACCAUCUCAAUGAUUCCAACCAAUUUUCCACUGAUGCGCACUACUUGAGGUUCUCAAGUUACAAUCCCAACAUUCACGGAACGUUUCGCAAAGCUGUAAUUGCCAAUGCCAAAUCAAGCGGUACGGCUGGCAACAAAUCCCUAUCGUGGGUUAAACCCGGUUCGCUCCAACCCUGUUCUAGCCAGGAUUGAAUAAAAUGCACCGGAUUUACUUCUGUGAUGUUUUCCUUCCAGCGCAUUCUAGAGGUUACACUAGGCACAUGGAUGGGUAGCCUGUAUCCCACUGACUCUACGUCUUCCACAUAUAAACGAAACAGCGCUUUUCCCAUCUUGUUCCUCGCCUAAACAGUGGAGCCUGCAUAUUUGAAGAAUUCAUUUUUUUUCCUUUACUAAAGUAUAGUACGCAUUAUGAAUGCCUUAAGAUCCCUCAUUUCCUGCAAUGCGAACAAAUAAACGUUGUCUUAUUGUUAA